GUGCGUGCGUGUGUGUGUGCCUGCGUGCGUGUGUGUGUGAGCAUGUGUGUUUGUGUGUAUGUGAAUGUGUGUCUUUGUCUUUCCCAACCCCCUUAACUGAUGGUCCAACAGGUCCAGAUUAGCCCUGGGAGAAGAGCUUAGCAUCUGCUGCAGGAGCAAACAGCGAGACAAGGAACAUGAGAAGGAGAGGAGGAGGAGGGGAGUAGAGGUGUAUAAGAGGAUGAGGAGUAGAGGUGAGAAGAGGUGUAGAAGAGGAGGAGGAGGAGGAGAGAGCCCAAAAGGAGAAGAGGUGUGGAGGAGGAGGAGAGAGCCCAAAAGGAGAAGAGGAGGAGGUGAGAGCCCAAAAGGAGUAGAGGGGAGCUUUGACUGCAGGAGCUGGAGGAUUUGCGUGCUGUACUGAGGAGAUGCACAGAGGAAGUGGGUUAGUGUUGGCCAACACGUGCACACACACACACACGUGCACACACACACGCGCACACACAGUGGUGCUUUCAGCCUCUGGAGUCUACACACACAUACACUUGUGAGUUUUGCAUUUUUGUGUUUGUGUGUUUGGUGUGUGUGUGUGUGUGUGUGUGUGAGCGAGCAUGUGAGUGUGCGUGCGUGUAUGGGUACUUGUUUUGGUGUUUGUGCAUGUUUUAAGGAGGAGAGUGUGUUUUUAAGUUGUGUUUGUUGCUUUAUGUUUUGGUGUUUGUGUAUGUAUGUGUUUAAAUGAGUCUCUGUGUGUAUGUGUGUGUGUGUGUCUGUGUGUGUGUGUGUGUGUGUUUGAAAGGAGUGUGUGUGUGUGUGUGUGUAAAGGAGUCUCUCUCUCUCUGUGUCUGUGUGUUUAAAGGAGUAUCUCUCUCUCUGUGUCUGUGUCUCUGUGUCUCUGUGUGUAUGUGUGUGUAUUGGUGUCUCAGUGAAAGCGGCUGGCCAUGGAUCAAGGGCAGGCAUCCUUGAGGGAGACUGAUGAAAGCCCAACACAUGGUUAAGUCUAAUUUAAUUUACAAGCUUACUUUUUCCUCAUACAUACAUUCACACACACACACACACACACGCAUACACAUCCACACUUACAAAAACAUACAUACUACACACACACACACACACACACACACA
ensembl:lncRNA